rnacentral:rRNA from 1 species
UACGUAGGGUGCGAGCGUUAAUCGGAAUCACUGGGCGUAAAGGGCGCGUAGGCGGCCUGGUAAGUCAGGGGUGAAAUCCCACGGCUCAACCGUGGAAUUGCCUUUGAAACUGCUGGGCUUGAGUGCAGCAGAGGGAGACGGAAUUGCCGGUGUAGGGGUGAAAUCCGUAGAUAUCGGCAAGAACGCCGGUGGGGAAGCCGGUCUCCUGGGCUGUUACUGACGCUGAGGCCCGAAAGCUGGGGGAGCGAACCGG